rnacentral:rRNA from 1 species
UGCUACAGGCUUAACACAUGCAAGUCGAGGGGCAGCAUUUCAGUUUGCUUGCAAACUGGAGAUGGCGACCGGCGCACGGGUGAGUAACACGUAUCCAACCUGCCGAUAACUCGGGGAUAGCAUUUCGAAAGAAAGAUUAAUACCCGAUGGUAUAAUCAGACCGCAUGGUCUUGUUAUUAAAGAAUUUCGGUUAUCGAUGGGGAUGCGUUCCAUUAGGCAGUUGGUGAGGUAACGGCUCACCAAACCUUCGAUGGAUAGGGGUUCUGAGAGGAAGGUCCCCCACAUUGGAACUGAGACACGGUCCAAACUCCUACGGGAGGCAGCAGUGAGGAAUAUUGGUCAAUGGGCGCAGGCCUGAACCAGCCAAGUAGCGUGAAGGAUGACUGCCCUAUGGGUUGUAAACUUCUUUUAUAUGGGAAUAAAGUUUUCCACGUGUGGAAUUUUGUAUGUACCAUAUGAAUAAGGAUCGGCUAACUCCGUGCCAGCAGCCGCGGUAAUACGGAGGAUCCGAGCGUUAUCCGGAUUUAUUGGGUUUAAAGGGAGCGUAGGUGGACAGUUAAGUCAGUUGUGAAAGUUUGCGGCUCAACCGUAAAAUUGCAGUUGAUACUGGCUGUCUUGAGUACAGUAGAGGUGGGCGGAAUUCGUGGUGUAGCGGUGAAAUGCUUAGAUAUCACGAAGAACUCCGAUUGCGAAGGCAGCUCACUGGACUGCAACUGACACUGAUGCUCGAAAGUGUGGGUAUCAAACAGGAUUAGAUACCCUGGUAGUCCACACAGUAAACGAUGAAUACUCGCUGUUUGCGAUAUACAGUAAGCGGCCAAGCGAAAGCAUUAAGUAUUCCACCUGGGGAGUACGCCGGCAACGGUGAAACUCAAAGGAAUUGACGGGGGCCCGCACAAGCGGAGGAACAUGUGGUUUAAUUCGAUGAUACGCGAGGAACCUUACCCGGGCUUAAAUUGCAUUUGAAUAUAUUGGAAACAGUAUAGCCGUAAGGCAAAUGUGAAGGUGCUGCAUGGUUGUCGUCAGCUCGUGCCGUGAGGUGUCGGCUUAAGUGCCAUAACGAGCGCAACCCUUAUCUUUAGUUACUAACAGGUCAUGCUGAGGACUCUAGAGAGACUGCCGUCGUAAGAUGUGAGGAAGGUGGGGAUGACGUCAAAUCAGCACGGCCCUUACGUCCGGGGCUACACACGUGUUACAAUGGGGGGUACAGAAGGCAGCUACCUGGUGACAGGAUGCUAAUCCCAAAAGCCUCUCUCAGUUCGGAUCGAAGUCUGCAACCCGACUUCGUGAAGCUGGAUUCGCUAGUAAUCGCGCAUCAGCCAUGGCGCGGUGAAUACGUUCCCGGGCCUUGUACACACCGCCCGUCAAGCCAUGAAAGCCGGGGGUACCUGAAGUACGUAACCGCAAGGAGCGUCCUAGGGUAAAACUG